AUUGAACGCUGGCGGCAGGCCUAACACAUGCAAGUCGAACGAGUAGCGGACUGGUGAGUAAUUUCUUGGAACCUGCCUGAUCGAGCGGUCUAACUACUGUAAACGGUGGCUAAUACCGCAUACCAUCCUCUGUGCCCUGAUGGGAUUAGCUUGUUGGUGGGGUAAAGGCUCACCAAGGCGACGAUCCCUAGCUGGUCUGAGAGGCAGACCAGCCACACUGGAACUGAGACACGGCCCAGACUCCUACGGGAGGCAGCAGUGGGGAAUAUUGCACAAUGGGCGAAAGCCUGAUGCAGCCAUGCCGCGUGUGUGAAGAAGGCCUUCGGGUGGUAAAGCACUUUCAGCGGGGAGGCGGUACCUGAAGAGGAAGCACCGGCUAACUACGUGCCAGCAGCCGCGGUAAUAC
rnacentral:rRNA from 1 species